UACAGAGGUCUCAAGCGUUGUUCGGAUUUACUGGGCGUAAAGGGCGCGUAGGCGGCCACCGCAAGUCGGUUGUGAAAUCUCUGGGCUUAACCCAGAAAGGUCAACCGAUACUGCGGGGCUAGAGUGCAGAAGGGGCAACUGGAAUUCUCGGUGUAGCGGUGAAAUGCGUAGAUAUCGAGAGGAACACCUGCGGCGAAGGCGGGUUGCUGGGCUGACACUGACGCUGAAGCGCGAAAGCUAGGGGAGCGAACGGG
rnacentral:rRNA from 1 species